UACGUAGGUGGCAAGCGUUGUCCGGAUUUAUUGGGUUUAAAGGGUGCGUAGGCGGCUUAAUAAGUCAGUGGUGAAAGCCGAUCGCUUAACGAUCGAACUGCCAUUGAUACUGCUAGGCUUGAGUAUAGUUGAGGUAGGCGGAAUUGACAGUGUAGCGGUGAAAUGCAUAGAUAUUGACAAGAACACCAAUUGCGAAGGCAGCUUACUAAAGUAUAACUGACGCUGAGGCACGAAAGUGCGGGGAUCAAACAGG
rnacentral:rRNA from 1 species